rnacentral:rRNA from 1 species
AGAGUGAACGCUGGCGGUAGGCCUAACACAUGCAAGUCGAACGGCAGCACAGUGGUAGCAAUACCAUGGGUGGCGAGUGGCGGACGGGUGAGGAAUACAUCGGAAUCUACCUUUUCGUGGGGGAUAACGUAGGGAAACUUACGCUAAUACCGCAUACGCCCUUUGGGGGAAAGCCGGGGAUCGCAAGACCUGGCGCGGAUAGAUGAGCCGAUGUCGGAUUAGCUAGUU